rnacentral:piRNA from 1 species
UCACUCCUCUUUUUCUAUUUG